rnacentral:rRNA from 1 species
CCGAGUGGCGGACGGGUGAGUAACGCGUGGGUAACCUGCCUCAUACAGGGGGAUAACGGUUAGAAAUGACUGCUAAUACCGCAUAAGCGCACAGUACCACAUGGUACGGUGUGAAAAACUCCGGUGGUAUGGGAUGGACCCGCGUCUGAUUAGCUGGUUGGUGGGGUAACGGCCCACCAAGGCGACGAUCAGUAGCCGACCUGAGAGGGUGACCGGCCACAUUGGGACUGAGACACGGCCCAG